UCGCUGGUGGUGCAAGGCGUUGCAUCGCUGCCCGGAAAGCAGAGGAUGUGGGUUCGAGUCCCGUCUGGCGCA
rnacentral:tRNA from 1 species